AACGAACGCUGGCGGCACGCUUAAUACAUGCAAGUCGAACGAUGAGCUCCGGCUCAUAGUGGCAAACGGGUGAGUAAUGCAUAGGAACGUGCUCAUGAGUGGGGGAAAGCUGUUGGAAACGACAGGUAAUACCGCAUAUGCCCCAAGGGGUAAAGAUUUCGAUCGCUCAUGAAUCGGCCUAUGUCGGAUUAGGUAGUUGGUGGGGUAAUGGCCUACCAAGCCUGUGAUCUGUAGCUGGUCUGAGAGGACGAUCAGCCACACUAGGACUGAGAUACGGCCUAGACUCCUACGGGAGGCAGCAGUAGGGAAUAUUGGACAAUGGGGGAAACCCUGAUCCAGCGAUGCCGCGUGAAUGAUGAAGGCCAUACGGUCGUAAAAUUCUUUUAGUAGGGACGAUGAUGACGGUACCUACUGAAUAAGCACCGGCAAACUUCGUGCCAGCCGCCGCCGUAACAC
rnacentral:rRNA from 1 species